CCUACGGGAGGCAGCAGUGAGGAAUAUUGGUCAAUGGGCGGGAGCCUGAACCAGCCAAGUCGCGUGAGGGACGACGGUCCUAUGGAUUGUAAACCUCUUUUGUCGGGGAACAAAGGCGUCCACGGGUGGGCGGAUGAGUGUACCCGAAGAAAAAGCAUCGGCUAACUCCGUGCCAGCAGCCGCGGUAAUACGGAGGAUGCGAGCGUUAUCCGGAUUUAUUGGGUUUAAAGGGUGCGCAGGCGGGAGAUCAAGUCAGCGGUAAAAUGUCGGGGCUCAACCCCGGCCGGCCGUUGAAACUGGUUUUCUAGAGUUGGAGAGAAGUAUGCGGAAUUCGUGGUGUAGCGGUGAAAUGCAUAGAUAUCACGAAGAACUCCGAUUGCGAAGGCAGCAUACCGGCUCCAUACUGACGCUGAGGCACGAAAGCGUGGGGAUCGAACAGGAUUAGAUACCCGAGUAGUC
rnacentral:rRNA from 1 species